AGCGCUUGGCCCCUUGAUGCUUCAGUUCAGAUCCGUCCUACGUCGCUUGCUCAUCCGGCACAGUUGGUUGGGAUUUCCAUGAUGACUUUUCGAGGAAUUAGUGGCUGCGUGGUGUGUGUCGCCGUGAUACUUAUGAUGACGAGCACCGGACAGGCGGGUCCUACAGGCAGCCAGAAGCCAGGAUCUUGCCCGUUAUUCCCUGCUCCUCCUCCGCCUCACCUAGACGGCCCGGUUUCCCUUGGCGGUCGCGCUGACUUCCCACGUGAUCACAAUGGUCACGUGACUUGCCGCUCGGAUUUCGACUGUGUUGGUGCUAAAAAAUGCUGCCCGACUGGUGCUUGCUGUGGGACAAUUUGUACUCUGCCGUGGUAACGAUCGGAUAACUGAGAAAAUCAUGGUUAACAGACAAUUCCAGAAGAUUCGAUUGCCUCUGAGAUAACAAUGGUUCAGAAUGAGCGUCAGAUGUCGUCAUUCCGGCGUGUGUGUGUGUAUGUAUGUGUGUAUGUGUGUGUAUGUAUGUGUGUGUAUGUAUGUGUGUGUGUGUGUGUGUGUGUGUGUAUAUGUAUGUGUGUGUAUGUGUGUGUGUAUGGUUGCAGCCUUGUUUCCAGAAGAGUUUGUCGAUUUGUCAGUUGAUUUGCCGUCUGUAAUGGUAGAGAUUGUUGAUUCUUCAUAAUAAAAUCUGAAUAAUUAA